UAGGGAAUCUUCGGCAAUGGGGGGAACCCUGACCGAGCAACGCCGCGUGAGUGAAGAAGGUUUUCGGAUCGUAAAGCUCUGUUGUUAAGGAAGAACGAGUGUGAGAAUGGAAAGUUCAUGCUGUGACGGUACUUAACCAGAAAGGGACGGCUAACUACGUGCCAGCAGCCGCGGUAAUACGUAGGUCCCGAGCGUUGUCCGGGUUUAUUGGGCGUAAAGCGAGCGCAGGCGGUUAGAAAAGUCUGAAGUGAAAGGCAGUGGCUCAACCAUUGUAGGCUUUGGAAACUGUUUAACUUGAGUGCAGAAGGGGAGAGUGAAAUUCCAUGUGUAGCGGUGAAAUGCGUAGAUAUAUGGAGGAACACCGGUGGCGAAAGCGGCUCUCUGGUCUGUAACUGACGCUGAGGCUCGAAAGCGUGGGGAGCGAACAGG
rnacentral:rRNA from 1 species